rnacentral:lncRNA from 1 species
GUCUCUGUGGGAGAGUGUAGCUGUAAUAGGAGCAGGGGCCCAGGGGGCAUACCUCUUAGGCAGAAGUCACCACCUACUGGGUCACCAGGGUUCAAGGCUUGUACUCAACCUGAGGCCAGGCUGUCUAUGCACAGCUCACCACCCCACAAGUUCCCUUAACACCCAUUCCUUUUCUUGCCCUCCACUGAUUUAUUGUCUUAUAGUUUCAAACACCCAUGGAGAUGAGGAUGAUACCUCCUCCCACUACUAAGAAAACCCAACUAAACAAGAAUUUGUACCCCAACAAGACCCGUCUAAAUGAAGAAAUGGGAAUGAUGGCAAAACAGGAUCAUGACAAUCUCCUCCCAAGAGAGGACUCCAGGAGUGUUUCAGCUUGAGGUAGAGGGGCCAUGUUCUAUGAUAUCAAAUCACAGGUCCUGAUGGUCUUCUUCUCAAAGUGUGGUUUCAGGACCUGCAGCAUCAGCCACCAGGAAGGAACUGAAUAUAAUUCUCUGACCCCCAUCCUGGGUACAGAGGAACAAAACUACUUGGAAGAAGCAAGCUGAAUUCGUAACAGCACAAGACUCCUUCUGCAGUUCAGCAAAUCGUGUGUGCUGUACCAGCUCAGCGAGUUCUCAGCCUCACAAUCUCCUCCAUGCCAUCCUUCAUCU